UACGUAGGGUGCGAGCGUUAAUCGGAAUUACUGGGCGUAAAGCGUGCGCAGGCGGUUUGAUAAGACAGGCGUGAAAUCCCCGGGCUUAACCUGGGAACUGCGCUUGUGACUGUCUCACUAGAGUACGGCAGAGGGGGGUGGAAUUCCACGUGUAGCAGUGAAAUGCGUAGAGAUGUGGAGGAACACCGAUGGCGAAGGCAGCCCCCUGGGCCGAUACUGACGCUCAUGCACGAAAGCGUGGGUAGCAAACAGGAUUAGAUACCCUGGUAGUCCACGCCCUAAACGAUGUCAACUAGGUGUUGGGUGGGUAAAACCAUUUAGUACCGUAGCUAACGCGUGAAGUUGACCGCCUGGGGAGUACGGCCGCAAGGUUAAAACUCAAAGGAAUUGACGGGGACCCGCACAAGCGGUGGAUGAUGUGGAUUAAUUCGAUGCAACGCGAAAAACCUUACCUACCCUUGACAUGUCCAGAAGCCUGAAGAGAUUUGGGUGUGCCCGAAAGGGAACUGGAACACAGGUGCUGCAUGGCUGUCGUCAGCUCGUGUCGUGAGAUGUUGGGUUAAGUCCCGCAACGAGCGCAACCCUUGUCGUUAGUUGCCAUCAUUUAGUUGGGCACUUUAACGAGACUGCCGGUGACAAACCGGAGGAAGGUGGGGAUGACGUCAAGUCCUCAUGGCCCUUAUGGGUAGGGCUUCACACGUCAUACAAUGGUCGGUACAGAGGGUUGCCAAGCCGCGAGGUGGAGCCAAUCCCAGAAAGCCGAUCGUAGUCCGGAUUGCAGGCUGCAACUCGCCUGCAUGAAGUCGGAAUCGCUAGUAAUCGCGGAUCAGCAUGUCGCGGUGAAUACGUUCCCGGGUCU
rnacentral:rRNA from 1 species